rnacentral:rRNA from 1 species
CAUGUAGGUAUCUGCCCUUUGGCCUGGAAUAACACGAGGAAACUUGUGCUAAUACCGGAUAAGUCUUUACGGAGAAAGCUUUAUGCACCAUUGGAUGAGCCUGCACUUGAUUAGUUUGUUGGUGGGGUAAUGGCCUACCAAGACUGUGAUCAAUAGCUGAUUUGAGAGGAUGAUCAGCCACAUUGGGACUGAGACACGGCCCAAACUCCUACGGGAGGCAGCAGUGGGGAAUCUUGCACAAUGGAGGAAACUCUGAUGCAGCGAUGCCGCGUGAGUGAAGAAGGCCCUUGGGUUGUAAAG